rnacentral:rRNA from 1 species
AACGGCUCGUCUGAAAUGCCUGAGUGUACCCCGCUUUGCGGCGUAUUCGGUGUGAUACAUCUUCACCGGAGUUGAUCCCUUUAUUGGGGUCGCGUCUGUAAUGGUGUGGCUCUAUGCUUCCAACCGUCUCCUUAUCGAGACAAAUCUCUGACAAUUUGACCUCAAAUCGGGUGGGACUACCCGCUGAACUUAAGCAUAUCAAUAAGCGGAGGAAAAGAAACUAACAAGGAUUCCCCUAGUAACGGCGAGUGAAGAGGGAAAAGCUCAAAUUUUGAAUCUGGUGUCUUUGACUCCCGAGUUGUAAUCUAGAGAAGUGUUUUCCGUGUCGGACCGUGCACAAGUUCCCUGGAACGGGGCGUCAUAGAGGGUGAGAAUCCCGUAUAUGGCAUGGACUGCCGAUGCUUUUGUGAUACACUCUCAACGAGUCGAGUUGUUUGGGAAUGCAGCUCAAAAUGGGUGGUAAAUUCCAUCUAAAGCUAAAUAUUGGCGAGAGACCGAUAGCGAACAAGUACCGUGAGGGAAAGAUGAAAAGCACUUUGGAAAGAGAGUGAAACAGUACGUGAAAUUGUUGAAAGGGAAGCGUUUGAAGUCAGUCGUAUCUGGCGGGAUUCAGCCGGGCUUUUGCCAGGUGUACUUCUCGUCCGAUGGGUCAGCAUCAAUUUCGACCGGGGGAAAAAGACGUGUGGAAUGUGGCUGUCUUCGGGCAGUGUUAUAGCCAUGUGUUGUAUGCCUCGGUUGGGAUUGAGGAACGCAGCGCGCCUUAAGGCCAGGGGUUCGCCUCUUGACACGCGCUUAGGAUGCUGGCAUAAUGGCUUUAAGCGACCCGUCUUGAAACACGGA